CCAAAAUGUCCCCGAGAAACCCCAAAGGGCAGAGAGAGACCCCAAAAGGGCACAGAGAGACCCCAAAAGGACACAGAGAGACCCCAAAGGACACAGAGAGACCCCAGAAAGGGCACAGAGAGAGCCCAAAAAUGGCAGAGAGAGACCCCAAAAGGGCACAGAGAGACCCCAAAAGGACACAGAGAGACCCCAAAGGACACAGAGAGACCC